rnacentral:rRNA from 2 species
UUUCGACAACGGAUCUCUUGGCUCUCGCAUCGAUGAAGAACGCAGCGAAAUGCGAUAAGUAAUGUGAAUUGCAGAAUUCAGUGAAUCAUCGAAUCUUUGAACGCACCUUGCGUCCUUUGGUAUUCCGAGGGGCAUGCCUGUUUGAGUGUCAU